GAUGAACGCUGGCGGCGUGCCUAAUACAUGCAAGUCGAACGGGGAGUAGCAAUACUCUUAGUGGCGAACGGGUGAGUAACGCGUUGGUACCUGCCCCGAAGCGGGGGAUAACGGACCGAAAGGUCCGCUAAUACCCCAUGUGCUCGGUAACGAGUAAAGGUGAAAACCACUUUGGGAGGGGCCUGCGUCCCAUCAGCUAGUUGGUAAGGUAACGGCUUACCAAGGCGAUGACGGGUAGGGGACCUGAGAGGGUGGCCCCCCACAAUGGAACUGAAACACGGUCCAUACACCUACGGGUGGCAGCAGUAGGGAAUAUUGGUAAUGGGCGCAAGCCUGAACCAGCAACGCCGCGUGUGCGAUGACGGCCUUCGGGUUGUAAAGCACUUUUGACUGGGACGAGGAAGGACGGUACCGGUCGAAUCAGCCCCGGCUAACUACGUG
rnacentral:rRNA from 1 species